UCAAAACUAAGGCCACUAGCGUUGUGAUUAUAAAUCUCAUGGAUAGCAUGCUCCAGAAUCUUCCAGGUCUUGUCAGCAUAUUUCGGAUCCACCACGACCCGGUGCUUAAACGCCUCUAUCUGAAAGUUUCUCUUCUUCUGAUUACUCAUAUUUUCCCGUCGGAUCCGAAUCCGAACUUUAAACCCCCGAUCUCCAGCUCAAAAUCCACAACACACAAUUAAUAAUCCGGAACAAAUGAUCUAAAGGCAAUGAUCGAAGGGUCGAAGAACCUCAAAAAAAGGCCAGUGAUAAGCAGACGUUAAUCGAAAUAAGCCGGAACGCGAAGCCGCGGACCGGUAGAUUGAGCGGUGGUGGCGUACAAAGGAGAAAGUAGGGUUUGAAACAGAAGGUUUUUUUUUCCGGAGGGGAAGGUGUACUCUUAAAGAAGAGAUGAAGGGAAAGUAUCAAAUCAGGCAAAGAAGCAUGGGCCUAAAAUGAUAUUACCAAGGAAAGAAGAGGAAAAAAAAUAAAUAAAAUAAAUAAAAUGUUUGUAGCUGUAGUUGGAGAGGGAGAACAGAUGGAUGAUUGAGGUUGAGGGUGUUGAAAUGAAAAGAGGCAGAGAGGGAUUUGGCC
rnacentral:misc_RNA from 1 species